UCCAGCCCUGGCUCUCACUACCUGCCAUUGUUCCUGAAAUUAAAAGAGAAAGCAAAAGGACUGAGCUGCACCGGGGCCGUGUCACUGCCGGUGCUGAGUGCUCCAUCUCACAGGGUAGCUGUUGGCAGCUUUAUCCUGGAGAAGGGCUCUGGAAGAUUCCCCUGAAUCCAGUAAGAUGCAGUGUCUUAAGUGGAGGUGAUUCCAUAGACGUGAACUUUUCCCAGGAAGCCACCAGCCACGUGAUUUGGGAUAGCUUGCUUGUGUUGUACGCUCUCCUGGCAGCCAGUUCCACUUGGAGAUGGCCUUGCCCCUCAAAGGCCUCUGUUCCGUGGGAGGAGCAAAGGAUGGGAAGGACAGGAGCCAACUGAUGAGAAUGAAGUGGAUCAGGAAAAACAAAAUGAAGAGUGUCAAAUGCCAGACAGAAUACUGACCAUGGAGCUGAAGCUGUGGAACUUCACGGGUUUGCCCUCCUUCAUCCCGAUCCUUCUCUUUUAUAAGGCUCUUUUCCUUCACCUUGGUAGCAUGAACAUGAGUUACAAGGCAACAAAUGGAAACAGAGAUGCCCGUGGUCCUGCUGUCCCCCUAGCAGGCAGGGGUAAGCUACAGAAGCAGGAAUUCAUGCAGAUGCACCUUGACAUCUGGGAUGUGAUCUGUUGCCUGCACACCUCCCCACUGAGCUAACGAGCAGGAGAGGGCACUGCUGAUGCUGCACGUGGAGCGCAAAAGGUUUUUCCCAUUCAUUCCAGCACUUUUG